CAGAAGGUAGUUUAGUUUAGAAUACUAGCUUUGGGAGUUAGUGGUGGGAGUUAAAAUCUUUCCCUUCUGG
rnacentral:tRNA from 2 species